CCCGCCGCUUUCUUCUCGCGCCCCUCCCCUUCACGCACACGCCCCUUCCUGAUUUCCUCCGAAGGAGCGCCUGCAGGUCAGGGAACUGCAGAAAGCUGUGAUUGGCAGCCAUAGGGAGGCGGGCACCGGAGGCGGUACCGGAUCUGGGGCGCGCGCGCAGGUGGCGGUGGAGAGUACAGGAGGGCGUGGGCGGUGUGAGAGAAGAAAGGGAUAUGGGGAUAUAAAGGGAGACGCUUCUGAACCACCCUCCGAAUACCCAGAAGCCAGAGCCGGGGAGCUACGCUUAAAGGUUUUGGAGAAAGGAUUUGGCAGUCAUCACCCCGUGUGCGGAGUGAAGCAAAAUAAGUCAGCCCUGUGUAGAAAAAAGAAACCUUUUCUCAGAGAGGUCUUUGUUUGGAUUUUACGAAGCCAGAACUGGAGCUGAUCUUCGCCCCCACCCUGCGUCAAGUACAUGGUGUAUUACAGCACAUACGAGUAUGUUCAAAGGCAGUGAUCAGAAGGAAAUACACCGUCUUCCAAUCCCAUGUCAUAUUUUAAAACAAAGCAACGAUCUUUUUCCUGGAGAAAAAUCCUUGGAAUUAUGGGAUUUUCUUUUCUCAAAUUUCCUUUACUUAGUUACAUAUAAAAAUACUAAUUUUAGAGACUGGAGAGAUGUCUCAGCGGUUAAAAGCACUAGAUGCUCUUCCAGAGGACUUGGGUUCAAUCCCCAGCACCCACAUGCAACCCACACUGGUCUGUAACUCCACUUCCAGGAGACCUGACAAAACACCAAUGCACAUAAGACCG
rnacentral:lncRNA from 1 species